AUUAUUAGAGAUGAGAUGACCUUCCUGGCUACCCACCAUUACCAUUGUAACAAGGAUGGAUGAUGGGACCCACUUGACAUGCAGCCAAAGGCAGACUGAGUGGAGUGUGUGGUACCUGAACCUGAAAAUGACAAGGAUUUGAUGGAAAGAACGUGUGAGAAGAGUGAGAGAUUGGAGCACUUUUGGGAAAGUUGGGAAUCUGGCUACACUGUAUCCCCUUUAAAAUACACAGCACUCAGACUUGUAGGCAUUGAGAUCCUUGGAUGAUGAGCUGCUAUAAGAGUUUGCAAGGGAAAAGUGAGCCAGGCUUUGUGUCUUUUCUUUACAAACCGCAGUCCAGGCCUUAUAGGAAAAGAAAAGAAACAUAAUAGAUGCCCAAGAAUUUACAUGCUAAGAAUCAGCAAAAUAAGGGCAUGGAUGCAUGAGCCAAGCAUGUUCACAUAACCAAACGUCUGAAAGAAGAUGAACGAUUCCAAUUUGUCCUACAGCAUGUACGUGCCAUUAAGAUAAAGCAUUGCUAAGUAUUCUGCUGAUGAGUUAGUUGAAUCUGAAGUCCUCCAACUUCAUUCUCUGGUUUAUCCUCAGGAACAGUUCUACAAAGAGCAUGAUUUAUCA